rnacentral:rRNA from 1 species
UACGUAGGCAGCGAGCGUUGUUCGGAGUUACUGGGCGUAAAGGGUGUGUAGGCGGUUCUUUAAGUUUGGUGUGAAAUCUCCCCGGCUCAACCGGGAGGGUGCGCCGAAUACUGAGGGACUUGGAGUAUGGGAUGGGAAAGUGGAAUUCCUGGUGUAGCGGUGAAAUGCGUAGAUAUCAGGAGGAACACCUGUGGUGUAGACGGCUUUCUGGACCAUAACUGACGCUGAGACACGAAAGCGUGGGUAGCAAACAGG